rnacentral:lncRNA from 1 species
GGCAUUUCUCAUGAGCUCACCAGCACAAGAACUAACAUUUUCCCUGUUUGUUUUCUUUCUCAGGCAUGAAUGCAUUUGCUUUGGAAAAAGAGACGUGUAUCUUAGAAACCUAUCAAAAAUAUGUGAAUACAGCUACCUCACCAAUCUCAGCUUUCCCCACUCUUGCCUCCCACCUCUCUUUUAACCUUUGCCUGAGAAGAAUUUAAAUGGCAUAUUUAGUCACUACAUGUUGUGCUUCCUGUACCCGAGGCUGCGUAAAAGGGAUUGAUUUAAAUCACUUACAGUAACCGUGUGGAGGAGGAGGGUCCCGUUUUCUGCACCAAAUGCUCUUGGAUCCAUAAUAAGCAGCCAGAAUUACAGACAACAAAUGAAUGUGCUUGUAUUUGUCUCUUCUUGGGUGAAGAAUUAUUCUUUAGCAAAAAAACUUAUUACAUACUUCCAGCAUCUAACAAAAAAAAAAGCAGCUCAGAUGUGUGAGCAGAGAUAAAGGAUGCUUACCUUAACCUUCCAUCUCCCAGGUAACCAGUCUCAGAAAUAUUGGCUUAAAAAGUCAGAGAAUGUUCCUAUUAGAAUUUUUUUUAAUCAUGGGAUUUAUAACACCUCACAAAAGAGGAAUGGACCAAGUCUAAGGUUACAGCUGAGAGUCACUAAAGCUUUAGGAGCAACCACUGGUAAUAAUAAUCAGCUGGAAUCAGAACACAGCUCACCCUUCAGCGCUUCGCUCAAAUGCUUACCAUUCCUAAAGCUGUAGAGCCUUUGACAAGCGAGGCAUAAAUCAGGGGGGAUUUAAAUUCCUGAUUUUCUGGCAUUUUUCAAGCUAUAAAUCCCACACAUUCCUAGAACCACAUCAUCCCAUAAUCAGAGCUGAGGGCUGCAUUGGGGUUCUGAUUGCUGCUCAAGUCACACUGGAAUAGGAGAUUCCCGCUUCCCUCCGAGCCUUCAAACAAUUCUUGUUGAAGGACUGUUAAAGAUUUUUUUCAAGCCUUCUGAAGUGAGGCCAAGAGGGGAUUACAUUUAUCCCAAUACUCUACCAGGUCUUUCUCAUCCUUGGAUAUAGCCACCUCUGGAUUUUUCUAGAAGAUCCCACUAAUCCAUGUCUGCAUACUCCAAAUGGUUUGAAUAGUCAGAAGGAAACAAUUGAAAAGGGUCUAUAAACAAAUGAAGUCGAUUCAUAGUUUCUCAAAGUAGGUUCAAGGACUGCUUGCAUCGGAAAUUCAGAAUCACUGGUGAUGUUGAGAUUCAGAUCCUCCAGCACAACUGACACAUACCGAAUGGGAGCUCCCAGAAGAGAGAGGACUUAAUCAACUUAGCAAAUGUCACCAGCUGAUCCUUUUUGUUUGGAAAGCCACACAUUAAACUUUAAUCUCGAAAAGCGGAGCCCAGAAAUCUGCAUUUUUGACCACAGGGCCAGGCACAAGUGUGGACCCAUGAAUGCUUGCUACGUUAAAAUGAAUGCAUCUAUUAUCUAUUAUACUAAUUUCCUUAGAGAAAAAGUCACUUUAAUUUUCCAUUUCUUUGUUUUCACUGUUCUUCAGAUAAGCUCUUCCCUCCCACAGCUGUGUUCUCUCUCCCUUCCUCGGAACCUUUACAGCAGGGUCUCCCCUCACCUAGGCGGCAGUUGAUGUCCCAGCAGGAGCACAGGGAUGGUACCCAGAAGGCCUCUGUAGCCUUGAUGAAGUCCUUCUACUGCUCUGAACACCAGUUUCCUCAUAACUUGAGCUUCUCAAACUCCAAUUUGUGCCAUCUCGUGGUUUAACUUCUCUAACACUGGCUAGUAAAGAAGGAAGUGGAAGACAGAGAAAAGGAAAAGUGAGAAGUCUAUAUAGUAUUCUUGUCUAGUUAACACUCUUUUCCAGUAGUUGGAGAAAAUGAAACGAGGAGGACUUCCAACUGUAGAACUUUCUAGUGUCUUUUCUCCCUUAAGCUCAAAGUUUCCUACUCUUUAAUUUUUUUUUAAUGUGUAUUUAUUUUUGAGAGAUAGAGAGACACAGAGCGCAAGUGAGGGAGGGGCAGAGAGAGAAGGAGACACAGAAUCUGAAGCAGGCUCCAGGCUCUGAGCUGUCAGCACAGAGCCCAACGUGGGGCUUGAACUCACAGGCUGUGAGAUCAUGACCUGAGCUGAAGUUGAUCGCUUAACUGACUGAGCUGCCCCAGUUUCCUACUCUUUAAAACACGAGAGUUUUUACCAUGAAAACCCCCGAGUGGGCUCACUAUGGGCAGUGUGAUUCCAGAAGAGCCUGUGGUGUGAUAAAGGUAAGAACAGGAGGCAGUCCCAAGUGUAUGAAGAGUAAUUGAACUGUUGAUGGACUUUUAUGCUUCUUUUCUCUUGAAUGGACUAGCCCAAAUAUAUUUGUAUGGUGUUUUGCCUUUUUGUCCAUUUUAAAGACACUACAGAAAGGAGGCAAUCAAAAGGCUUAACAUCACAUUUGUUCUCACUCAAUAGUUCUAAAUCUAUAAAGAUUAGCAACAGGAGAAAUAGAGAGUUGGGAAGGAGUACGCAUUACUGGAGCAAAGGAGAGGAAUAAAAUAGUUGGCAUAUGUAGUAGGUGUGUUGGGUUAUGUAAUGGCAAGGUUAGCUCAGCGGUAUCCAUCUCAUAACCAUCCCAACUCCCCCUUAAGCUCUGCUUGCCUUGGAGCUGCCUUUUGAUGCCUCUAACAUGCAAGCCUCUAGAGACUCUGCAAGACUCCUCUCUGGCCUGCCAAGGUGUGGGGAUGCUCUGUUUCCUCUCAGUGCUAGGAAGGCAGUGUUUGACUUUUCCAAAGGGAGUUUUCCUAGCAAACUAAGGAAAAACAGAGCCAAUUUGCCAUAAACACAUAGAAGCAUGAGAAAUCCAUAGUUCAAUAUAGGCUCAGCUGACUUAACUCACUUCCAACCAAAUUUGGCUUUGCUGGCACAGAUUCUGGAGAACCAGCCCCAGAGUCUUCUCCUUACCCUCUUCUGGUUAAACAAACAUGCUCCAUCUCUCAGCCAGAAGUCAAGUUGGGUUUGUCCCACUUUUAGGCCUGGCAGGAAUCCUAAUGCUUUCCUAAACAUCAUUCCCCAUACGUUCUUGGAGGGAGAUGUGAAUGGAAGAGGGCUUUUGAGACAAGAGGUCAAGGUCUAAGUCCCCUAUGGUCAGUGACAAGCUGUGCGAUCUUGUGCAAGCUAUUUACCAUCUCUCAGUCUCAAUUUCCUCCUGUCAAAAUGAAGAAAACAGUGCUGGCUUCGUGAAUUGCCAACAAGAUAAGAAGAAAUGCAAACACCUAGGACAUCCUUUUCCCCUAAAUCAUAAGGUACAAGUCCCCAGAUCCACCUAUCCCCCUGGUUCCUGUGCUCUAUUUUCUCCCUUCUGGGGAUCCUGCCCUGAUCCAUGACUUGAGCACGGAGGAAGUAUUCAGGAUGAAUGGAAGAGAGAACAAAGCAGAGUCAGGGUGCCUUGCUAAAAGAAGUAAGUCCAAAUCAGAGGAAAUGAGGACCCAAACUAAAGAAUAACAUCAAAAAUAGAGGGUGAAUAUGGAAAAUGUAAUGAAGGCAGGAUCUCAUUGGAAGUGCAUGCUGAAAGCACAAGAGAAGAUCAGCCAUGACAGGGAGGGAAGAACACUGCACUUGGAGCCAAGAGACCUGGAUUCAAGGUCUUUGUUCUACCACUUACCAAUUUCAUAAACUCUGACAAGCCCCUCACUUGUAAUUCUCAUUUUUGUCUUUUGCAAAAACAAACAAACAAGCAAACUGGAAAUAGCUACAAAUUAAGUGAGAAGCUGCAUAAAAUGCC